CCGAGAAGCCUGGGGCUGGGGCCGAGAAGCCUGGGGCUGAGCCCCUGUGGGGCUGAGGCCGCUGGCCCCUCUGGGGAAAUUUCCACCUGCAUCUUUGUCCCAUGACAUUGCCUCAGCCCCCUCAGUCACUGCAGGGUGCUGGGGAAGAGGGAGAGCACAGCAUGCCAUGGGAACUUCUCUCAUCUCUGCUUGAUUUUAGAUGACGAUGCUGGUUCUCCAUAUCCAGCUUCUCAGCUGGAUCCUCGUUUGGAGCCUCAGGAGGAUCCCCGAGGCAGUACUGGUCAAGUGCCUCCAUGGAAUCCUGCUCCUGAGCCUGCCAGUAUGGGUCCCACAGGUGAGAUCUUCCCGUAAGAAACACCUGAGGGGCCACAUCUUUGGCGGCGUGGUCCCUGCGGGCUGUUGCUCACAG